ACACCUUUGUACAUCGUUUCCCAGUUUUAAGGCCGAUUUGUACAUCUUUUCCCAAUUUUUUUUUUAUAGCUUCAAGAAAUAAACUUUAUCGAUUCCUCUUGAUUUUGUCGGUUAAGAACAAAUCACAAUGCUAAAUGUUUAUCUGUUUGUGGAAAACGAAAUUACCUUGCACAGAGUUUCAAUCAAAUCAAUGGAAGGUUGUAUCUUUUCCUUCAAUCAUAAUCGAUAAGAUCGGGAAUAUACAUUCAAAUCGUACAUAGCUUUGUUAGAGUAUGUAAAUCGGCCGUGAGACAAUGUCAAUAUCACUUUGCAAGAAAGGAUAAUCGAAAGCAAAAUGGAAAAAAAAGGAUUUCAUUUCCUGCAUAUCUACGAUGAGAAGGGUAAUCUUGAAAACUAAUUUCUUAUGUUUCACUUUAAUCUUUUAACAUUUUAUCUGUUCUGAUUGCCAAUAAUCGUGAAAACCAAUUGGUACUGAGUAUAUGUGAUCAUAAUCGAGAUUGUAUUGGUAAUAUAUUUCAGAGCGUUUCACAUUAAACAUAAAGAUUGAAGAUUCUGGAAACAAUUUCAUUGUUUAGAUGCUUCUUUGGUAUACUAACCAUGUUAGCAAGAACUAUAUUGACUAUUUUGUUUUGGCUAUUAAAACCUAUGUUACAUGGAAACGGAAGCGGGUACGCGGAAGCGGAAGCGUAAGGAAGCGCGGAAACGAGAUUUUUUGAAAAAUUAGGAAGCGUUAUCUUCAUUAUCUGGUAUUUGGACUUCCGGAGGUGGAGCUUCUCUUCCAAUUCCAAUCGGUGCAUCGAGAUCACGCUCAUCCUCAAUAAUCAUAUUAUGUAAAAUUAUACAUGUAGUCAUUAUAUCAUGUAGUACUUUUUUUUUCCAAAAACGUACCGGUCCUUUCACAAUCGCAAAACGUGAUUGUAAAACUCCGAAUGCACGUUCUACAUCUUUUCUACAUGCUUCUUGUUGUGCUGCAAAAUAUUUUUUCUUUGGACCUACUGGCUCAUGAAUAGUUUGCACUAUGGUUGACCAUUUCGGAUAUAUACCAUCGGCCAAGUAAUAACCCAUAUUAAUAUGUUGUAUUGAUUAAUAUUUAAAUAAAAAGUCUUUGACUUUUAAAUAAAAUAAUAAUUUUUUAUUUUAUUUUAAUUAUAAUUGACUUUUAAAUAAAUAAUAUUUUUUUAUUUUAAUUAUAAUUAUAGUUAUAAAAAUUAAUAAUUAGUACGUAACCAAAAAGGUGUGAUUUUAUAUGUAAGAAUUGUAUUUCUUCAUACAUAAGUAUUUUAGUUACAAUCAUAAAAUAUUAGAGGACUAUUUUGUAAAUAAAAAAGUUUGCAUCUAUUAUAGAGGAAUGCUAUUUUUUCCCCUAAAUAUAGAGGAAAAAAUAGCAAUCUCUAUUUUAGGGGAAGAAAUAGGGGUGGAUUGGAGCUGAUUUUACUCUAUUAUAGCAUUUAGAGGCAAAUAUGGGAAAGAGUUGGAGAUGCUCUAAGAGAAGUGUGGGUAAAUAUAUAUUUAAUAUCCUCUUAACAUUAGGUUAGAAUAGUUUAGGCUUGUAAAUUAACAAAGAGCAUAGUAAUGGUAAAUUGGCUUGUGUUAGAUUUACGGCCUAUCAAAAUAAGAAAACUUUAAUAGAAAAUUAACUCUUUUGUACAAAUAAACGCUUACUUAUGAAGGCAAAUAAAUUCGCUAAAUAUUUUCUACCUCUAGAACGGACAAUGGUUCUUUUUUUUGUUUCUCAUAUUAACAUCUCAUCCUUAAUGUAUGUUCCUUUUCUAACUCGAAUUAAUUUCGAUGGAAGCCUUGGUGCAAAUGUAUUCUUGUAUUAAAUACAAAAUUAACUUUUUUAACACAUACAUGAUCACAACCCCUUCUGUAUUUCCUUAUCUAACUCAUAAUAAAUUAAGAUUCACACGAAUUGACGGUUUGAUUCAUUGUAUUAAAUAGACAAAUUAACUUGACGGUUUGAUUCGAUUAAAACACGAUUAAAAUUUCAUAAGAUUCACACGAACUGUAUUCCAUGACGGUUUGGUUCAAUAUAGAUGAAUACCACAGAUAACCAACUGUUAUCGAAACUAAAAUUAACAUUUCAUAUUGGAGGGACACUAAACUUAGACACCAUUUGUUUAAAACUGAAUAUAUUAUUCAUUGAGAUUUGAAUACUGAAAGAAGUCAAGCAAACCAAAACAAAACAAAAUAAGAUGUUUCCUCUGCCAACUUCCACAUUAUUAAACAAAAUAAGAUAAUGAAAGGACUGUAACAUUCUGUUCAGACGACUAACAUGUAUGAUUAAGAUCUUCUAAGAAUGUGAAUUGCAAAACUGAGAGAGCCCUAAUACUGUAAUUUUGUUUAUAAACGGAGAUGCAAGAGUAGACCAUCAAAGAUAUUUAGUAAUGGAAAGCGACUGUUGCUAUGAUGUAUGUUAGUCGUUCAAUACAGAUAUCGGUGUGUUAGUCAUUCAAUACAGAAUUCUAAAUGUCUUAUGACCCUCAAAGACCAUUUUAAUGCGACUGAUGCUAUGAUAUUUAGUAAUGGAAAUAUUUAGUAAUUGAAAUAUGCCACCAACGUUAUAUUUUAAAACUAUGGUUUAUAUAAGGGGCUCUAGAAUUCUUUUAAAUAAGAUUUAGAAGGUAUACACAACUGCCACAUAUGAUGAUUUUUUUUUUAAUUAAUACAAACUUAAGGUUCUAAUUUUUUUAAAGAUUCUCAAUUAAUAUAUAGAGGAUAUUAGAUUUGAACGCUAACCUAUGAAUAGAGCUUGCUAGUGAUUUUCUUCAAAAUAUUAUUCUUAAAUAUGUAUAAAAAAUGAAACUAAUUUUUACAGAUGUCCAUAUUUUUAAAUUGAUAUUUAUGUAAUUCACCGAAUUCAGAGAAGAAGUUAAAAAAACAAAACUCGUAUCAGUGAAAUAUAAACGAGAACGAAAACACAAUUUUAUAGAGGUACAAAAUAAAAUCAUUUAUGGAGAAUGAAUAGUAAACAAAUCGAGAAGCGUAAAUCUAAUCCUCUUUCGUCAUUUUAUAAUUGAUGUUGUCUAUCUGGUUUUAGUGAUUUGUGUCAGACGCAAAACUUAAUUUUUUUUUGUGCAUAUAAUAAAUUUUAAAAAUAAUUAAAAUGAGGUAUAAUAAGUUGACUUUUCAACAAACCAACAUUGUCAAUAAAAAUUGCUUGCAAAAUGUUAAACUAUUUAAUGAACAAACAUUGAUAUAAAAAAUUCACUCCGCACGUACACCCCAAGAUAUCAUCUAAAUUUAGAACAUAAUUCAAUUAACUUUUGUGAAAUGUAUAAAUAUUGAAACAGUCCAAAACCAAUGUCUCCUUUCAUACCAAGAAACUAAGGUUGCCAUUGGUUUACCACGACAAACUCACUAACACUAUUCGAUUUUGAUUGCUCAUUCUUUAUUCUACCAGACCAUUGUUUUCUCAAAAUCUUGAUUGUGUUCUUUGUGCUAGCGUGUGUUGUGAGCAAGUUUUACGUUUGCGUUUGCUGAGUGGGUUACCAACAUUGCGACAAGAAAUUGAAUUAGGACAAGUUUCUUCCAACAUAAUCGGGCAAAAAGUCUUUAUAGCAAAGACCCAAAAAUAAUACAUAAUAUUUAAAAAAAAAACGCAAAUGAUGAAUAUCACUACAAGUG